UUCAGACCCACGGCGAACGGCUGCGUAACACGUUGGUACCUGCCUCGAACUCAGGGAUAUCCCUCCGAAAGGAGGAGUAAUACCGGAUGCCCUCGCAAGAGGAAAGAUUUAUCGGUUCGAGAGGGGCCUGCGGCCUAUCAGUUAGUUGGUGAGGUAACGGCUCACCAAGACGAUGACGGGUAGCUGGUCUGAGAGGACGACCAGCCAGAAUGGAACUGAGACACGGUCCAU
rnacentral:rRNA from 1 species